rnacentral:rRNA from 1 species
UACAGAGGUCUCAAGCGUUGUUCGGAUUCAUUGGGCGUAAAGGGUGCGUAGGUGGUUGGGUAAGUCAAAUGUGAAAUCCCGGAGCUCAACUCCGGAACUGCAUUCGAUACUGCCCGGCUCGAGGAUUGGAGAGGAGACUGGAAUUCACGGUGUAGCAGUGAAAUGCGUAGAGAUCGUGAGGAACACCCGUGGCGAAGGCGGGUCUCUGGACAAUUCCUGACACUGAGGCACGAAAGCCGGGGGAGCGAACCGG